GCCGGGCGCGGUGGCGCGUGCCUGUAGUCCCAGCUACUCGGGAGGCUGAGGCAGGAGGAUCGCUUGAGCCCAGGAGUUCUGGGCUGUAGCGCGCUAUGCCGAUCGGGUGUCCGCACUAAGUUCGGCAUCGAUAUGGUGACCUCCCGGGAGCGGGGGACCGCCAGGUUGCCUGAGGAGGGGUGAACCGGCCCAGGUCGGAAACGGAGCAGGUCAAAACUCCCGUGCUGAUCAGUAGGGGGAUGGCGCCUGUGAAUAGCCACCGCACUCCAGCCUGGGCAACAUAGCGAGACCCCGUCUCUA
rnacentral:SRP_RNA from 1 species